UCCAUAUCAUGUUGAAACAACUUAUCUCGUACGGCCAACGAAGUUAAGCAAUGUCGAGCCUGGUCAGUACCUCGAUGGGUGACCGCUUGGGAAUACCAGGUGCUGUAAG